rnacentral:sRNA from 1 species
CGGCGGAGGAGAAGGUGGUGGUCUGUCACGUGGUGGGCCAGGCUAUUCAGUUCUUGGUCAGCGAGACGCCUGCCUUGGGUGCUGGAUGCCGGCUGUACGACGUGCGGCUCUCCCCUUUCCAUUUACAGCUGGAGUUCCACAUGAAGGAGAAGAGAGAGGACCUCCAGAUUAGCUGGUCUUUCAUCAGUGUGCCGGAAAUGGCCGUUAAUAUCCAGCCCAAAGCACUGGGGGAGGACCAGGUGGCUGAGACAAGUGCGAUGUCUGACGCUCUCAAGGACAUCUUGAAGCAUUUGGUUGGUUCUGCCUCUCCAUCAGUGGUUCUGAUCAUCAAGCCCACGACUGUAAAGGAAGCUCAGAACUUACAGUGUGCUGCAUCUACUGCUCAGGAAUCCUGUCCUCCUAAACCUCCAAGGGCUCACGAGCUAAAGCUACUGGUGAGGAACAUCCAUGCCUUGCUGCUCAGUGAGCCCGGUGCCUCAGGCCACAUUAAUGCAGUGUGCGUAGUGCAGCUGAACGAUCCUGUUCAGAGGUUCUCCAGCACCCUGACGAAAAACACUCCGGACCUCACGUGGCAAGAGGAAUUCACCUUGUGAGUCCGGCCGGGUUAUGGGCCUGUGUGUCCACGGCCGUGUCUGUUCAGGAGCGCCAAAUCCUGAAAUCAUUCUGCAGCACCGUUUAGACUAAAACACGAAACCAAAACAGUUAACAACAAAUGAUGUCUUAAGCAUCUUAAAGGUAGCUUUAGGUCAAACAUGGGUUUC